rnacentral:sRNA from 1 species
GGGUGGGGCUGUCAGGAGGAUCCAUCUGCUAGGUGUGCCACCGCGCUGAUGACAGGGUUGCUCCAGCUGCCCUGGCUAGCUGAGUGGGUGUCCCCUUCCUCCCUCAAUGUCCCAUGUGUGUCCCUCCCAACGCUGCAUGCCAGCCUUGGAGAAGACGGCCUUCCCUGGUAGAGGAAGACCACCCUACGGUUGAGAGGAUCUCAGGAGCUGUGUCCUUCUACUAAAACCCUCAAACAAGCUCCAAAGCCUUUCAGAGCGAACCCCGUU